rnacentral:rRNA from 1 species
GAUGAACGCUAGCGAUAGGCCUAACACAUGCAAGUCGAGGGGCAUCACAUGAGGCAGCAAUGCCGAUGGUGGCGACCGGCGCACGGGUGAGUAACACGUAUGCAACCUGCCUUCAACAAGGGGAUAACCCGUUGAAAAACGGACUAAUACCCUAUAAUACAGGGGUCCCGCAUGGGGAUAUUUGUUAAAGAUUGAUCGGUUGAAGAUGGGCAUGCGUUCCAUUAGCUGGUUGGUGAGGUAACGGCUCACCAAGGCAACGAUGGAUAGGGGAACUGAGAGGUUUAUCCCCCACACUGGUACUGAGACACGGACCAGACUCCUACGGGAGGCAGCAGUGAGGAAUAUUGGUCAAUGGACGCAAGUCUGAACCAGCCACGUCGCGUGAAGGAAGACGGCCCUACGGGUUGUAAACUGCUUUUGUACAGAACGAAAAAGCUCUUUCUAAUACAGAGAGUCCAUGACGGUACUGUAAGAAUAAGCACCGGCUAACUACGUGCC